AACUUUCAACAAUGGAUCUCUUGGUUCUCGCAUCGAUGAAGAACGCAGCCCCCCGUGCC
rnacentral:rRNA from 1 species